ACUCACUGGAAAGAUCGCCGCCUCCCAUCACCCACAGCGAAGGCGGGCAUCACUCUCUCUGCUUACACUCAAGUGGCUCCAUCACUAAAGAUAGCGUUGCGCCGAGUCGCGGUGUGGUUCCGCUGCCAGCGCCGUGGAUUUGUGCAGAACUGCGCUCUUCCUCAAAUGGGAGGGGAGCUGGAUGACCAGAACAAAGACGCGCCCGAUGGUGGCAACGCAGCGCGCAAGCGCGCGUGCCUUGAGCACGUGCUCCCUUCCAUGCAGCAGCGCUUUGCAGAGCUGGCCCACGCUAGCGUCGGCGAGUCGUCUCUCACCGUGGAGGCACUUUUCCAGAGGUACCAGCGCGUGCUGAAAGUAGGCGAGGGCACUUUCGGCGAAGUAUUUGUUCUUUACGACACCGUGGCCCACACGUACAUCACCAUGAAGCGCAUGCACACGCUGCUCAGCUUGCGGCGCCGCAGUCUGGGCAUCCACCGUUGCACUUUUCGGGAAGUGGAGCUGCUUGCGGCACUGCAGCAUCCGAACAUCGUUCAGGUGCUUGAUUACCAUAUCCUCUCCGACGGUAGUUUGGUGAUGCUGAUGCCGGUUAUCGCACACGACCUCACAUCUCUGCUGCGUCGGUGGCCCGCAACCCCACAAAGCAGCGGCCACGGCACAGCUUCGACCGCUGCCUCCAUGCGUCCGCGCAUGCCGCUGCACGUCGUCAAGUGCAUCUUUCGUCAGAUCAUCGCCGGGAUCGCCUACCUCCACAAGCAUAAAGUGGUUCACCGCGACUUGAAGCCGAGCAACGUCAUGGUCGAUCACACCGGUGUGGUGAAGCUGAUCGACUUCGGGUGGUCGCGGUUCUGUGCCGCAGCAGGAGCCAUGACAGGUCCACCCUGUGUUACUGCUUUUCGGCCGCCGGAGGUGCUGGUGGGGGCACACAACCACUACACCUUCAGCCUCGACAUCUGGUGCUGUGGGUGCAUCUUGUUCGAGAUGUUGACGGGGGGCACACCGUUUGCAAAGAGCCGCAACGAGGCGGAGUGCCUCGCCAAUAUUGUGGACUGGCUUGGCUCCCCGCCUAGCUCCAGCGAGGUGUACUACCGGUGCGCCGCCCGCUGCACUUUCCCUCUGGCCCCUGGUCGUCCCGACACGUUCGCGCAGCGGUGUAACAACUACGGCAUCAAGUCAGCAGAGGCAAUGUUUCUCCGGCGGAUGCUGUGCCUAGAACCGGGGGAGCGGGCCACCGCCGAGGCACUCCUCAGAGACCCCUGGUUUACAACGGCACCGACGAUGUGCGUGCCGAGGGCCAUUCCGCUUCCGGCGCACAAUAUGUUCCGACUGGUGGAGGUCAAGCGGAAGGAGCUGGAGCAUUGAUGGUGCAAGCAUACGUGCACAAGCACGCCCGCAUUCGUGUGUCGAUCAAGUGCACCUCGCCCGCGGGAUGGUCACUUCGUUCCCCGUUCGCGAGACGUCAUCUGCAACAAG
rnacentral:misc_RNA from 1 species